GCAAAAUGUGCCUGCUAAGAGGACAACUGGGGAGAGAAAUACAGUAACCUCCAUUAGAAUAUGAGUUCCAUGUAAGUUGUAGAAGAUCCAGGAGAGGAAGAUUUAGGACUCUGAAGCUGUUGCUGCCUCCCUGAAACAUGGCGUGAACAUUUGUCUUCCAAUCAUCAGAUUUACUGUGAUUUUGAAGACAGUGGCUGAGCCUGGCAAUGAUGGGACCUGGGUCAAGAAGGAGCACCAGGACGGAGACCUCUUCCGUCAUUCCAGCAAGAUAACUCCACAAGAAGCAGAAGCUCUCGCCUCCCUGGAUGGGGGAAUCUGGUGCAUCCCCAAAUCCUCCCAGGAGGCUCAGAAUGGCUUGCAACAGAAAAUGGAUCUUCAGCAGCUGCCCACAAACAAGGUCACCGACAACAGCAACCAGCUCUCUUCAUCAGCCCCUGCCAACCCCACAAAAAGUACAUAUUCUCCUUCAGAAGGAUCCAUGAGGCCGCCAUUCAAUGGCUGACAGAAAUGGAAAAUCGAUUCCAGAUUCAUCUCUGCUGGGAAUUAAGUAUAUUCCUUGGAAAUAAUGAGUUAUGAGGUCAUUGAGGGCUUGUUCUUUUCCUGCUUGCAGAGACAUUUUAAUUUUAGAAGGAAGAGUGACUAAUGAACAGGACAUUCUAAUUCUGGUGAUGUGCUUUUUCCCAUUUUAAUGUCAGCUGAACCACAAAAAUGUUGAUAUUUCUCUCUUCAUUACUCCUCAUGGUUCAGGAAGAACAUUGUCGCCAAAGGGAAAAAAAACUGGGUAACUCCUGAUCCCUCCACCCAGUUUCAAAAGACAAAAUAAGGUGCAGCUCUGGUGUCAGCCAGCCUGUUUUCACUGCUCUUAGUGGGGUCAUUCUAUACACCAGCAGUGUCCCCACAAAACGACAUUUUCCACACUUUGUCGAUAGUAGUGAGAUACAAGGAAGACAAUGUCAUUCAGAACCCAGGACGUUCAACAAGGUGGACAGAAGUUUGAAAUGCAAAAAUAAGAAAUUCCCUUAGCAAGUCUCUCACCAAGCAGACUCACAGCUCAUUCCCUCCCCCAAGUUUAUAAGUACCAUCUAUUGAGUGCCAGCUGUAAUUCUGAUGUUGUUAAAAUCCUGUUUACAGGCAUUUUCUCAUUUAAUACUUGUAACAGCCCUGUGAUGUCACACAAUUAGUAAAUUGCAGAGCUGACAUUAGAAAUCAGGUAACAUAGUCUGUUUUCUUAAACCUUGUGCUCAAAUUCAGUGGCUCUCAAACUGAAGCCUGCAUCAGAAUCACCUAGGGGGCUUGUCAAAACAAGGAUUGCUGGGUCCCACCCCAGAAUUUCUGAUUCUGUAGAUCAGGGGCUCAAACUCUGAGAACCAUUGCUCUCAUGCCUCAGUAUGAUCACCCACAAUCACACUCUUAAAAGGCUACUUAUUCAGGGAAGAACUUCAAAUACAGAACACUAUUCUGACUCCUCCCUUCCCUACUUCCUAAAAGAGAAUCUGAGAACACUGACUGAUGUGCCCAAGGCCAGGUAGGAAAACAGAAAAAAUGGAGAGUUAGAGGUCUGUAUUUCUCGUGUAACAAUGUCCCAGUUUAGAUAAAACUUCUUUACGGUGGCUCAGGACAUCCAGGACACACAUCCUUAAUUGAGGCUCUCUACUUUAAAGUGAAUGCCUCCUUCAUGUGGGCAGGACUUGAUCUUACUGUGGUGGUUCUCUCCACCAUCACAGUCCUAGGGCAGGUUCUCAGAAUUUAGAAUACUUUGCAUUUCUGUGUCUCUUGAGAAACGCUGGCCCCACCGUUUCAACCCUACAGUGAACUUAGCCACCAAAACAGCUACGACCUCACUACCUGAGUUUGAGUUUUUCUUUCUCUGUGAGGGUGUGUCUCUCUCUGUCUUUCUCUGUCUCUCCCUGUCUUAUGUUAUUGCUCACAAUUUUCUUAUGGAUUAGCUAACCAUUGGUUGAUUCAAUAGUAAAGCUGAUGCAGUGCAAUGAAAUGAAAUAUAGUCAUGUGUCACUUAAUGAUAGGGAUACAUUCGGAGAAAUGCCUCAUUGGGUGAUUUUGUCAUCAUGUGAACAUCACAGAGUGAAUCUACAUAAACCUAACCUACUACACACCCAGGCUAUAUGGUAUAGCCUGUUGCUACUGGGCUACAUACCUGUAUAACAUGUUACUGUACAGAAUACUAUAGGCAAUUGUAACACAAUGGUAAGUAUUUGUGGGUCUGACAUGGUUUGGCUCUGUGUCCCCACCCUAAUCUCAUCUUGAAUUGGACUUCCAUAAUUCCCACAUGUUGUGGGAGGGACACAUGGGAGGUAAUUUGAAUCAUAGGGGCAGUUUUCCCCAUACUGUUCUCGUGAUAGUGAAUAAGUCUCAAGAGAUUUGAUGGGUUUAUCAGGGGUUUCCGCCUUUGCACCCUUCUCAUUUUUCUCUUGCUGCUGCCAUGUAAGAAAUGGCUUUUGCCUCCC
rnacentral:lncRNA from 10 species